AUCAGUUGUGAACCGAGCCUUCGGCACCUAAGUGCGUUAACCAAAAAAACGUGACGCAUAUGGCCCGCUGGCCGUGGCAAUAGUGCCACCGGGGUAGGUUGAGAAAGUCGGCCUGCCUUCCUCGAAUUUAGGAAAGGUAACACAUGCAAGAA
rnacentral:ncRNA from 1 species